UACGUAGGGUGCGAGCGUUGUCCGGAAUUAUUGGGCGUAAAGAGCGUGUAGGCGGCCAGACAGGUCUGCUGUGAAAACUCGAGGCUCAACCUCGAGACGCCGGUGGAAACCGUCUGGCUAGAGUCCGGAAGAGGAGAGUGGAAUUCCUGGUGUAGCGGUGAAAUGCGCAGAUAUCAGGAAGAACACCCGUGGCUAAGGCGGCUCUCUAGUACGGUACUGACGCUGAGACGCGAAAGCGUGGGGAGCGAACAGG
rnacentral:rRNA from 1 species